rnacentral:rRNA from 1 species
UUGUUGGAGAGUUUGAUCCUGGCUCAGGACGAACGCUGGCGGCGUGCUUAACACAUGCAAGUCGAACGAUGAAGCCGCUUCGGU